UGGCUCCCCUUUGUGUCAAGAUCUGCAGCAGCAUCGCAGUGGUAGGACCUCCUCUGCUUCUCCGAGAUGUGUCGGUUUUGAUCCCCCCGAGUCCCCUUUUCCCUUUCCCUUUGUUUAUUUGGGUUACACUCACAGUGGGCCUUGGAACCACUUGUCACGCUCGCAAGUCGAAGUGCCAUCGCUAGUGGACCCCACCGUUUAAUUUGUUUGUUUUAUUUUAUUUGCCUCGUCUAUUUUUCCUUGAUUAUCCAUUUAUGGCAAGUUUCAAAUCUGGCAGUAUCCUUUUGUGUCUUUUCCCAAUUGAGGUAAGUCCAAAUCUGGACAUUUCCAACUAUGGACAUGCAAUUUCAGUGAGAGGCCAUUUUAGGCAGGUUUUGACUUAGGCAUUUGUGGACAUUUUGCAUACAACAUCGUAUGCAUAUUAUAUAUGUUUUUGGGGUAGAAAAAUCCGUAGAAAC
rnacentral:lncRNA from 1 species